CUGAAUGACGAGAAAAGUUUGCUGUGCACCAGUCCGAAUGGCCAUGUAGCGGGUUACUUGUUCUCUCUCGCACAUGGCCAUCUGUGUGGUUUCUCAAAUAUACCCAAAUUUCUGAUC
rnacentral:snoRNA from 1 species